rnacentral:rRNA from 1 species
GAUGAACGCUGACAGAAUGCUUAACACAUGCAAGUCUACUUGAACUUCGGUUUGGGUGGCGGACGGGUGAGUAACGCGUAAAGAACUUGCCUCACAGUUAGGGACAACAUUUGGAAACGAAUGCUAAUACCUGAUAUUAUGAUUUUAGGGCAUCCUAAAAUUAUGAAAGCUAUAUGCGCUGUGAGAGAGCUUUGCGUCCCAUUAGCUAGUUGGAGAGGUAACGGCUCACCAAGGCGAUGAUGGGUAGCCGGCCUGAGAGGGUGAACGGCCACAAGGGGACUGAGACACGGCCCUUACUCCUACGGGAGGAAGCAGUGGGGAAUAUUGGACAAUGGACCAAAAGUCUGAUCCAGCAAUUCUGUGUGCACGAUGACGUUUUUCGGAAUGUAAAGUGCUUUCAGUUGGGAAGAAAAAAAUGACGGUACCAACAGAAGAAGUGACGGCUAAAUACGUG